rnacentral:rRNA from 1 species
CCUACGGGAGGCAGCAGUGGGGAAUCUUGCGCAAUGGGCGAAAGCCUGACGCAGCCAUGCCGCGUGGAUGAUGAAGGUCUUAGGAUUGUAAAAUCCUUUCACCGGUGAAGAUAAUGACUGUAGCCGGAGAAGAAGCCCCGGCUAACUUCGUGCCAGCAGCCGCGGUAAUACGAAGGGGGCUAGCGUUGCUCGGAAUUACUGGGCGUAAAGGGAGCGUAGGCGGACAUUUAAGUCAGAGGUGAAAUCCCGGAGCUUAACUUCGGAACUGCCUUUGAUACUGGGUGUCUUGAGUGUGAGAGAGGUAUGUGGAACUCCGAGUGUAGAGGUGAAAUUCGUAGAUAUUCGGAAGAACACCAGUGGCGAAGGCGACAUACUGGCUCAUUACUGACGCUGAGGCUCGAAAGCGUGGGGAGCAAACAGGAUUAGAUACCCUGGUAGUCCACGCCGUAAACGAUGAUUGCUAGUUGUCGGGAAGCUUGCUUCUCGGUGACGCAGCUAACGCAUUAAGCAAUCCGCCUGGGGAGUACGGUCGCAAGAUUAAAACUCAAAGGAAUUGACGG